CUGACCGUCGGCUCCUUCCUAUCCCCUCCCUUAUCCUCUCACGGUCUCUCCUUCGGUCCUUCCCAUGUCGACUCCAUGUGGGUGGCCGCCGUUCUUCUCUUCCAGUCAAAUCCACGACGAGGCGGCUGCACCCUUCUCCUCCGGCCAGAUCCAUGCCAUGGGAACCUCCCUUCUUCUUCUCCAGCCAGAUCCACAACGUGGUGGCUGCGCCCUUCUCCCCCAGCCAGAUCCAUGCCAUGGGAACCUUAGGAAGCUCCGCCGCCUCAUCCUUGACGCCAAGCUCACGCCCUUCCACCGGGGCGCCGACGACGCGCGCGCCGACCUCGACGAGUGCCCAUCUACUUCCUGGUAACCAUCCUCUUCCCCAUCUGCCCCAGAUGCAGUUCUACACUAACUACUCCUCGUUGUGCUGCUCUGUGGCGACGCCGAGGCAUCCGGGCCUUCCUCUAGGUUUCAUCUCCAAGGACGUAGGUCCCCGGCUACUGCGCGUGCCGUGUCGUACAACUCCCCAAGCGAGGAGGAGCCACCAGUCCUGCUGCUCCUCCAUUUUCUAUAUUUACUGAAUUUGAGUUCUUGUAACUGAAUUGCACGUGACUUUGCUUGACGAAUGGCUGCUUGGACAAUACUUUGAUAAAUAAACAAAGGUAAACAUAGUCCGAUGCAGAAACUAUCAUGACACUCCAAAACAAUUCUUGUCCCAUGAUUUUGCUUCAAGUAGCACAUCUUAUGGACAGCAAGUGAAUUGAAGUGCUCGUGAAUAGUAAUGUUUAGUUGUUUAGACUCCCUACAUAUCAAAUCUUUUAGUUCAAACUUAGAUAUUGUGAUAGUCACUCUAAUGGUUGUGAGCUAGGCCAAUCUAUGGCUUGAUGUUCAAUGUGGCUGUUGUGGACAUGCUAGUACAUGAAUGAAUUAUUGUUUGGUGAAUCUUACGAGUUGUGAUGCAUGUUGAUGAAGUGAUAAUUUGGCACU